UGCCAGACUCCUACGGGAGGCAGCAGUGGGGAAUAUUGCACAAUGGGGGAAACCCUGAUGCAGCGACGCCGCGUGAGUGAAGAAGUAAUUCGUUAUGUAAAGCUCUAUCAGCAGGGAAGAAAAUGACGGCACCUGAGUAAGAAGCCCCGGCUAACUACGUGCCAGCAGCCGCGGUAAUACGUAGGGGGCAAGCGUUAUCCGGAUUUACUGGGUGUAAAGGGAGCGUAGACGGCAAUACAAGUCGGAAGUGAAAUACCCGGGCUCAACCUGGGAACUGCUUUGGAAACUGUAUGGCUGGAGUGCUGGAGAGGUAAGCGGAAUUCCUAGUGUAGCGGUGAAAUGCGUAGAUAUUAGGAGGAACACCAGUGGCGAAGGCGGCUUACUGGACAGUAACUGACGUUGAGGCUCGAAAGCGUGGGGAGCAAACAGGAUUAGAUACCCCUGUA
rnacentral:rRNA from 1 species